GAUGGGAUUGGUUGAUUUCAUGGUGCACGGUUGAGGUAAAAUUGGUUGGCCUUCUGAGGUCUUUUGAAAACAAAAGCAGGUCGAUUCGGAGAAGGAAGAGUUGUUUCACAACUUAGCAUGAGAAGAAUUGCCAACAUUGUUGGUCGAUCCGUUGCAUCUUCUUGCACACAUAAGAGCCCAAUUUGAAUGCAUCUCAAGACUUCAUGAGAAACAAUUGACUCAAUAAUCGAUGAAUCAACUAUAUCCAAGGCUCUAUCUUCUGUCCACAGUUCCCAGACCUGUAUGGUUUAUAGCAUUAUCCAAAAGAGGUUGUAUUAUAAAUGCAAAUGGAAAAGAUUGUUGUUUUUUUGUUACUUACAUGCCCUAUCAAAGUUAGGGAAGGGUGUGUUUGAUAAGAAAUGUUAUUCUUCUUGCCACUAAUGAUCUCCAACAAUAUGACACCAAAACUAAAGACAUCUGAUUUUGUUGAAAAUUUCCCAAAUAUUACAUACUUUGGUGACAUAUAACCAC